CCAUCUGGUGGAAACGAGCGGCCACGCUAGCCGACAACCCUUUGUUCCGCUCGCUCACAGCGGCUCUGAUUCCUUCUUUCCCUCCGCUCGCUCACUCUCUCCACCAAGCCGAGGCGAGGUGGCCGCCGCGGCCGCAGCGACCUCGGCGAGCCCUCCUUCUCCCCCGCUCCCCUGACAACCGCCCGCAUGCCGAGGGAGCCCUAGAAGCACGGGCCACAACCGCGGGGCUCGGAUCUCGCCCCGACUCGAUCGACUCCAUCCAGUUCAUCUUCGGCGAGGACGCCGGCGAUCCCACCUUCUCCCCCGCGCCCCCGCGGCCGGCCAGCAUGCCUUGGCUUCGAGGGAGACCUAGGUGUGUGCGCUACAGCCGCGGGGAUCGAAUCUCGCUCCGUCUCGACGCCAUCUAGUUCACCUUCGGCGAGGACGUUGCUACCAGGACGGCUGCCGCCGGCGGCGCCGCCGCAUUCCACAGGCCACUCAUCGAGCUCCAUGUCUUCCGGAAGGUCUUCUACAGGGCACACGCGCAUGUGGAGGCUACUGGGUUCGCUCGCUCGGAGGCAUUUGGGGGUGGCCGAGACAUGGAUGCUUCCCGGUGCUCACUUUGUUGCCCGCUCUUCCACAUCAUCGUCGUCACGCCCGGGACGCCUGGUGCAUGCCGGAGGAGGUCUUGGUACAACAUUAUCAGGUCAGGCAGAGCAGGAAUAUCAAAGUGGAGCUAGGUGUCAAGGAGCAUGCACAUUGUGACAGCAAUCAAACCGGGAUUGACAAUAGUGUGGAUAGAAUAUUGAGGAUUGGUAUCCAGGAGAAUGCACAUCGUCACAGCGAGCGAAAUGUGAUCGAUGGAUUGGCUCUAGAGCUGGAUGCAGUGUUGUAUUGAGCUGGAGAUGAGAAAGUGAGAAGCAUACCUCCCCGCAGAGACAAAUUGGUUGGUGAAGGAGAGGUGCCUGGCAGUGAAACAAAGGGUUCUCCAAAUAGGACCUCUCGGCGGGACUCAAAACGGGGUGCUAAGCAGGAACCAUGUGGCACUGAUAAUGACGGGGAUGGAGAGGAUGAUGACGUGUCCCAAAGAGUAUCUAAAUGAGUUGGCAUCCUCAUACUUUUCUAGUUGCACAAGAGUACCUAAUUAGCUGGCAUCCUCAGCAUUUCUAGUUGCACAAUACCAUCCAACUAGUUGACAUCCUUAGUCUUUUUGUAGCUGCGUUGACACCCUCAACAUUUCUUCUAGAAGCUGAAACCUGAAUGUGCAAUUUUUGAUUGGUCAUGCAAGCACUGAAUAUUUCUUUUCGAGUAUCUAAUUAAUUGGCAUCCUCAAUAUUUAUAGUUGCACAAUAGUAUUCAAUUAGUUGGCAUCCUCAGCAUUUCUACUUGCACAAACAUUAUCCAAGUAAUUGACAUCCUCAACCUUUCUAGUUGCACAAGAGUAACUAUUUUUUUUAGUCCCAUCUUCAAAUUUUUGAGGGUUGCCCAAGAGUAUCUAAUGACUUGGCACCCUCAGCCUUUCUAGUUGCACAUGAGUAUUUAAUUAGUUGGCAUCCUGAGCACUUUCUAGUUACACAAUAUCAUCUAACUAGUUAACAUCCUCAACCUUUCUAGUUGCACAAGAGUAACUAUUUUAGUUGGCAUCCUCUGCAUUUUGUAGUUGCACAACUAACAUAAUAUCAAGUUGGCAUCGUCAACCUUUUUAUCUAGUUUUUCAGAAGAACAUAUAUUUUGUGUGCAGUGUUAACUAAUCACCUUUGGCUCCUUUUGUUUUGCAAAACCGCAUGUGCUCAAGUCGGAAUGUGAUCACCUUUGGCACAUUUUUCUCAUGACAAGAAAAAUAAUUUCAUCUUCUUUCCUAUUUACUUUUAGUAACAUCAUAUAGAACAUAGUCCCCCUAUUUGCAAUUUGUGUGAGACAAGCCUAUUUGUACGCUCAUUUUUAAUAUUGUUCUUGUGCUUUUUCUAGUCUAGUUUCUUUGUUGCACACAUUUAUAGAAAAAGUUGGGAUUUGGAUACAAGUUUAGUUGCACAAUUAUAUGUUUAUAUUUGCAGACAGCAAACCCAGUCUUUUUUAGUUUCAUCUAGUAUGUGUGUUGGUUGUAUACAUUUUUUGCAGGAAAAGAUGGAGUGAAUGUAGUGUCUGUGCAAAUAGAAGCCCAUAUUUGUGCCAACUAAACAUGGAUCCAAAACCAUCUUUUCCUGCAAUGUGUGCAACCAACAGCCAAAAGAUUAGAACAGAUGGUCUCCAGUCUGGGCUGUUUUGUUGUACAUUUGCAUAAAAAGGUUGGCUUGGACCCGUGCUUAGUUGCACAAAUAUGUUCAGAAACAGUACACCCAGUCCAUCUUUCUAGCCUGGGAUGUUUUUUUGCACACAUAUUGCAGGAAAGUUGGUUAUGGACUAAUGGCUUAGUUGCACAAAUAUGUGCUUCUUUUCACACAAACAGUACACCCAAUCCAUCUUUCUAGUCUGGGCUGUUUGUUGCACAUAUUUUGCAGGAAAGAUGUCCUUGGAUUAAUGCUUAGUGUGCACAUAUAUUUACUCCUUUAUAGUUUUGGCUGUUGGUUGCACACAUUGUAGGAAAAGUUGGCUUGGAUCCACGAUUUAGUUGCACAAAUAAGGGCUUCUAUUUGCACAGACACUACAUCCACUCCAUGUUUCUAGUCUAGGCUGUUUGUUGCACAUUUUUUUUUGCAAAACUACUCCCUUGUGUCUAUUUGCACACAUCCAGGCAGAAGUUGGUUUUGCUACUGGGUCUACUUGCACAAAGUGGUGUUUAAUUACAGAGACAUUAGACUACUGUUGCUACUCCCUUCAAUUAGGAGAAGAUUGGUGGUAGAUCCAGAGGCAAAGGGGAAGGGGAAGUGAAGGAGGGAGGAUCUGGAGCCAGAAGGGAACUUACCUUGAUUGAUGCUGCCUAAGCACAUGGAAAAGAACUUGGGCCAGCGUGAAGGCGAGUGGAUGAUGCUUUUUGAUUUUGGUCUCUGGAAUCAGCGGACUUUCCUAAUCAGGAGAUGGGACAAAAAAUUUCCUAAUACAGCCGGCUGCCGAGGAGCGCUAGCGAGCGCACGGCUGCUCGCUAGACGCGUCCAGUAUUGUAUCUGGUCUCAAUCCCACAUGCUAUUCGGCACAAGGACGUGUCUUUGAUCAGACCGAAUUCGAAUCUGUUCUUCGCCCAACAGAGUGAAUAGCAAAAAACUACCACAUUACGGGCUAUCGUUUCGAAAAACUACCGCUUUUUUCAAUUUUUUAAAAAACUAUCACAAAAGUGGCUGGCUGUUCCAAAAAACCCAAGUGGCCGAACGGUUAAGUUUUAACUGGGGUUAUGACAUGUGGGGCCCGCUCGUCAGGGUUUUGUCGGCCACAGUGCUCACGGCACGCAGGUGACGGCCGUUAGGGCGCACGGGCCGUUCCGACCAGGUCAAACGGAUCCGGCCCGCCCUCACUCUGUCUUCCCCCUCUCUGUCUCCCUCUCUCUCGUGCGCGCCUCUCUCUCGUGCGCGCCUCCCUCUCUGAUGGUGGCGGCGGCGGCGAAACUAGGCCAUGGCGGCCAUUCAAUGGGUGGAGGUGGAAGGGGGGAUGGAGGCGGCGAGUUCUCAGAGGUUGAUAACUGGCUGGGGAGUGGUAGCUUCGCAACCCAGCCGGCGGCGCCGCCGCCACCGCAGCGGACACCAUAGGCUGCAGCUCUGAUGCAGGCUCCUACGCCACAGGCUACACCGCCGUCGCCUGAUGAUUGCCAGUUCUCGCUUGAGUACAGAGCAGCGAGGUCUCUUGCUAGCGCCGUGCAGGCAGAUCCGGCCAACUCCCAGCACUGGGCCUCUGCAUUUGGAGGGGUGGAGUAAGUUUUUUCCUCUUAUGAGCUCCUUCAACAGUUUCUGCAUUUCUGCUUGUUCAUUUCAAACAACAUAACAUAAUUUAGUUAGUUUUUUGACCAAACCCUAGGUUGAUGCUGCUGUGAUUCAUCUUAGAACAUGAACAUGCACUGAAUAAUAGUUGAGCAAACACUCUGUGGCAUGUUUUGGAUGCAACAGUAUCACUUAGCACUGAAGGAUUAGUUAGAUUUAGUAGAAAUGCAUGGUGGAUUCAAAGAAGCAUUUGUUGGAUUCAGAUUCCUUACUGUACUUUAUAGUUAGUGUGCACUGAAUUUUUGUACCAAAAAACACUUAGUUAGUUGGGCUUUUCAAAUAACAUAUUAUUUAAUGCAAGCUGGAUGAUGAAAUUUGGGAUGUUAGGCUGCAUUUCCAGGGCAGAGAUAAUAUGGAAAGGAGGUUUUCUGUUUCAGACAUCACAUUUUUGAACUUGAUAGCACUUACUGAGACUGAAGGCUAUGGGUCAGAUGACUACAUGUACUGGGUAAAAGAACAAGGGAUUGAAUAGGAAUGUUUAUUUCUUCUGGACAGUCAAGAUGCAGUUGAAGAAAUGAUAGACCACUCAGAUUUCACAGUGCUCAAUAUCAUUGUUUCCAAGGCAAAUGAAGAUAGAGAUGUUGAUUGUAACAGGGCUCACAAUGUUUGUGAAGAACACAUUCCAAUAGGCAGUCCAGCGGGGGGUUCUGGUUUUGUGUUAAGUCUGUCACAAGAUGGAGUGGUCCACCCGCUUGAAGUUAAUUUGAACACACAGCAAAGCUGUAACUUCAACAUUUCAGAAGCUAAUGGUGGAGAUGAUGAUGGACAGGCUGCUAGUCAAGAGGAUGAUGAUAUUGACAAAUCAUCCUCAGACUUUGAGAUUGAUAGGGGUGACUAUAGAGGGAUAAAGAUGUCUUACAAGGCUUGGAAGAGAGGUGAAGAAAAUAUUGGAAAUAAAGAAGAAAGAGAUGUUGUAGAAGACAGACCACAGUUUGAAGGUGACAGUGAUGUUUCAGAGUUUUGGCAGGAGGAGAAAGAGGCUGACAGUGGAGAGGAAAUAGUUGUGGAAAAAUGCAGGCCUGAGAAACUCAAGCCUGUGAGAAGAGCAGCAGCAAAUCCAGGUCCAACUUCCAGAGCUCACAGUCAGCCAGAGAUCCCAAAGUUUCAAGAUUUUGUACCUGAAGCUGAUGAGUAUUGCUUCCCUGGUGAUGUGGGCAUUUCUGACUCAGAUGGGGAGACUCCAAGACUACCUUCUGGAAGGAAGAGAAGAUUGAAGAAGAAGAAGAAAGAGAGGAAAUGGUAUGACCCAAAGGUACCUGAUGCACAUGAGUAGCUGUGCAAGGACCUUUGCUUCACCAAUGUGUAUGAGUUUAGAAAGGCAUUGAGAAAUUUUCAUGUUAGGACUUUGAGAAACUUUCAGUACCAUAGGAAUGAACCAUCAAGGGUUAUUGUUUGGUGCCUAGAGAGGAAGAAUGGAUGUGAAUUUUUCAUGACUGCAUCCAAAGUAGCCCAUGAAGAUACAUUCACAAUCAAGAAGUGCCACAUGGAUCAUAGUUGUGGAGCUUGUGGAGAGAUUAUAAAGGUUACUGCUGAAUGGGUUGCAGAAGCUGUGGAGGACACAGUUAGAUCAAAUGUAAAGGCUGAUGUAGAGACAGUUCUCAAACAUACUAAGAAGAAGUUUGGGGUGCAUGUACCUAGGAGUUUGGCAUAUAGGGCAAGACUGAUGGUUGUUGAUGUUGUGCAAGGUGAUCAUAGAAAGCAGUAUCUGAGGUUGAGGGACUACCUACAAUGUGUGCUUGACACAAACCCUGGAAGCAGGUGCAUAGUGACAACUUUUGAGGAUCCUUUGAACCCAGCCCCCACAGAAAGGUUCAAGUACAUGUUCUAUUGCCUCCAGGCAUCAAAAGAUGGAUUUCUUGCUGGUUGUAGGCCUUUCAUAGGACUCGAUGGUUGCUUCAUCAAGUUAUCCACAUGCCAGCAGAUAUUGGCAGCAACUGGGAGAGAUGGGAACAACAAUGUGUUCCCAAUUGCUUUUGGGGUGGUUGACAAAGAGGAUGGGCCUAACUGGACCUGGUUUUUAAACCAACUUAGAGUAUGCAUUGGCACCAGCAACUAGUUUGGGAACUACACCAUCAUGUCUGACAGGCAGAAGGGCCUUCUUAAAGCAAUUAAUGAAGUAUUUCCUCAAUCCCCACAAAGAUAUUGCCUAAGACACAUAUAUGCCAACUUCCAGUCAGCUGGCUUUAGAGCAGAAGAACUUAAGAAAUGGGUUGACAAAGCUAGCUAUUCCUUCACUGAACAUGGUCACAAAGAAGGAAUGGCAGGUUUGAAAGCAGCAUGUGAACCAGCCUACAUGUGGUUGAAUGGCAUCCCUAAGGGCAACCACAUCUGCUACAACAAGGGCAACCACAUCUACUGCAGUUUCAACAGGUGGAUCAAGAAAGAGAAAGAACCCACCACCUGCUUCAGCACCAGCCAACAACACCAGGUCAAGUGCAUCAUCUCCAGCAAAGAACACCAGGUCAAGUGCAAGAGGUUUCAAUGCUCCAAGGGCAGCAUCAACAUCAGGUCAAGCUGAUGUUGGUUCUAAGAGGAAGAGGAAGGCCCCAAGAAAACUUGCUUUGUAUUUCACAGCCAGUGGCAACCAUUGAAUGUGUUGCACUCAACUAUGCUUUAUGCCUUGAACUCUGCUUGUUAG